rnacentral:rRNA from 1 species
UACGGGGGGAGCAAGCGUUGUUCGGAUUUAUUGGGCGUAAAGAGCGUGUAGGCGGCCUGGUAGGUCAGCUGUGAAAACUCGAGGCUCAACCUCGAGACGCCGGUUGAAACCAUCAGGCUAGAGUCCGGAAGAGGAGAGUGGAAUUCCCGGUGUAGCGGUGAAAUGCGCAGAUAUCAGGAAGAACACCAAUGGCGAAAGCAGCUCUCUGGGACGGUACUGACGCUGAGACGCGAAAGCGUGGGGAGCGAACAGG